rnacentral:rRNA from 1 species
UACGUAGGGUGCAAGCGUUGUCCGGAUUUAUUGGGCGUAAAGAGCUCGUAGGCGGUUUGUCGCGUCGGAUGUGAAAACCCAGGGCUCAACCCUGGGCCUGCAUUCGAUACGGGCAGACUAGAGUAUGGCAGGGGAGACUGGAAUUCCUGGUGUAGCGGUGAAAUGCGCAGAUAUCAGGAGGAACACCGGUGGCGAAGGCGGCUCUCUGGACCGAUACUGACGCUGAGGCGCGAAAGCGUGGGGAGCAAACAGG